UGUAUGCAGAACGCAUCUAACCGCAUUUAGAACGAUACAGAGAAGAUAAGCAUGGCCCCUGAGCAAGGAUGACUAAAAAGUAGGCAUUCUUUUU
rnacentral:snRNA from 1 species